rnacentral:rRNA from 1 species
GUGUCAGCCGCCGCGGUAAAACGUAGGUGGCGAGCGUUAUCCGGAUUUACUGGGCGUAAAGGGUGUGCAGGCUGCCCGUCAAGUGGUGUAUGAAAGUGCCCGGCUCAACCGGGCUUGGUUAUGCCAGACUGACGGGCUAGAGAGCGAGAGCGGGACGUGGAAUUCCGGGUGUAGUGGUGAAAUGCGUAGAGAUCCGGAGGAACCCCAGAGGCGAAGGCGGCGUCCUGGCUCGCAUCUGACGCUCAGACACGACAGCAUGGGGAGCGAACGGGAUUAGAUACCCGGGUAGUCC